rnacentral:rRNA from 1 species
CAGUCGCCACGGUAAUACGAGGGGGGCUAGCGUUGUUCGGAAUCACUGGGCGUAAAGCGCACGUAGGCGGAUUUUUAAGUCAGGGGUGAAAUCCCGAGGCUCAACCUCGGAACUGCCUUUGAUACUGGGAAUCUCGAGUCCGGGAGAGGUGAGCGGAACUGCGAGUGUAGAGGUGAAAUUCGUAGAUAUUCGCAAGAACACCAGUGGCGAAGGCGGCUCACUGGCCCGGUACUGACGCUGAGGUGCGAAAGCGUGGGGAGCAAACAGGAUUAGAUACCCCCGUAGUCCCUGUCUCUUAUAA